rnacentral:lncRNA from 1 species
AUGAAACUUGAAAGUUCAUGCCCUGCAACAGUCACAGACUGCAGUCUACAACUGAACCUGCUGCUGUCACACAUUUGACAUGUUGGAGCAGGUCUGAAGGUUCUCAAGAAAAUUCUGUGGAAAGCCUUUCUCAGUGACUUGUUGCAUUACAUAACAUGGCACACACCUGUCAUCAGGUGAAGGCAGCCAUGAUACUGAUCAACCAGAAGUUUUAGAUGAAUAGAACUAGAGAAUAAAACUUCAUUCUGAUCUGGAGCCAAAGGCCGUUAAAUCUGAAUGUCUCUAUGUCAUUGUGAACAUGAUGCAAUCCAGCUGAUUUACAGCCUUGAUUUACACAUUCAACCUUAUUUUUCUCAAACUCUACUUAGCUCUCUACUGUUUCAGUGAAGCCUCUCUAAUAACCCUAUACAACCCCAGUUGCACUUUAUGAACCACUCGCCUUUGAGAUCACCGAGUUACUGCGUCUUUUAAAGCUUUGUUGAAGGUGGUUGAAGUGGAUGUUUGAACUAUUCUUACCUGCUCUCUAUCAUACCUAAGUUAACCCUUUGCUACAACAGCUUUAAAAAGGAUCUUUUCUGCUUCUUGCAGAGAGUUGUAUUUAAGAUUAACGUAUUAUCAGAACUGUUAGAACCGUGGCCGUCAGGUUGGAACAAAGGAGAGAGGACACACAGAGCUCUGAGGAUCUUUAGUGUUUAUUUAACAAAAAUAACCCAAAAGGAACAUACUGUGUGUGUGUGUGUGUGUGUGUGUGUGUGUGUGUGUGUGUGUGUGUGUUUGUGUGUGUGUUGUGUGAGUUCAUGUGUUUAUGUGUAUCUCAUCAAACAACCACCAAAAUACAGCAGGCUGUAGGCCUUAGCAGCAGUCAGCUGCUCAACCACCUGAGAGAGAAAGAGCAGACCGUCUGAGGCGGCGUUUUAUUAAUGAAGCCACAUCCUAAGGUGUGGUCUGGUUGCAUCAAACAAAGGUAGGAGUUAUUGUCCUGUUUAUUUGAACUACUUUGUGUGUGUGUGCGUGCGUGCGUGCGUGCGUGUGUUUGGGGGGGCUGUCAAGCAAUGUUUUACAUGGUUAAAAUGCAGAUUCAUGGGUAAAUAAAUCAGUUUAAAAACAACGAACUAGGUCCUCAAGUCUCAUGCCAAUGGCACAGAACAAAAAGAGAGAGCUAUAAACAUGAACUAACAUGUCAGCAGUGUGGAAGGAGGGUGCCCUUUACGAGUUCCCACACUUUGCAUUGCACUCCUACUGAUGAUUCCCUCCUCUAAGCUUGUUGUAAAUGGUACCAGGUAAGAGCAUUGUUAAAAAGGCCGUGCAUAAAUUCAGCUUCACUUGGCUUUACCACACUUAUAUAAGAUUUUGGCAUACGAGUGCUCAUCCUUUUGUUUUUUUGUUUUUGUUGGUAUGACGGGGCAUUUCAGUGCCUUUGUUAAACAUUUUUGAUUUCUGACGUCUUGGUGUUUCUCUCCUGUGGAAAGAGUUUAUCUGGUUCCACUGCUGUUAUAACAAAAAGCUUGGAGUAAGAAAACAAGGAUGUGUUCAGAAGCUCUCCGAUGCGCUAAGAAAACAAAACUUUAGGCUUGGACGACAUUGUUGGCUGUGUUCCAAAAAACGUUGCUGUAUCACUGACAGACAUGUACUGUUUUAUCUUUAACUUAUCUCUUCAUGUACAAAAGGUCCAAUUUCUCUGGAAAGACUCUGUGGUUGGAUCUGUGCCAAACCACAGUGCCCUGAAGUCACUUACUGGUUUUAUGCAUGUCACAUUUAACUAUCUGGUGAUAAAAGCAUUUGAGAGAGUUAAUAAGAAAAUAAUAAGGGUGUGGAAUCACAUCAUUUCAAACCUGCCAGUUUGCCUACAGAGCAAACGGGUUCACAGAGGAUGCGGUGGCCACAACUCUCCACACUGCUCUGACCCAACUUGAGCAGCAAAUAACUACAAUGACUACAACACUGCUAUUGAAUCAGCCAGACAUUGAUAACUUGAUGUGAUAGAAUUGUUUUUUUUUUUUUAAGAAAAUGGUUAUUCAUGAUUUUUAGACAGUUUAGAAGAAAUAUAAGACAAAGUUCUCAUUCUUGGUGGCUUUCAAAUACAUGUCUGUUGCUCUUCAUUCACAGUGUGCCCUGACCUCUGAUCAAAUGUUUUCGUGUCUUUUAACCUAACACCAAGCUCUUUAACCUGUGGUCAUUUGUUCUCUAUGUCAUUGUGAAGAUGAUGCAAUACAGCUGAUUUACAGCCUUGAUUUACACAUUCACUCUAUUCAUGCUUUCUGUCAAUCUAUCACUGCCUUCAACACAUAGCUCAGUAGCAGUGGAAACAUAUAAUGGGUGAGGAAGAAUAUUUCUGCAAAACUUAGGGAACCUUAUUUUUCUCAAACUCUACUUAGCUCUAAGAUAAGAACACCCUGUAAGAUCAGUCAGGCUUACUUAACUCACUUUACCACACUUACAUAAAAUUCUGGCAUACAAGUGCAUCCUUUUGUUUUGUUUUUGUUUUUGUUGAUAUGACAGGGCGUUUCAUUGCCUUUGUUAAACAUUUUUGAUUUGUGACAUGUCUCGGUGUUUCUCUCAUGGGAAAAAAAGUUUGCAUCUUCAAGUUGGAGCAGGUUAUUGGACACAGAUCAAUAGACAAACUGAUUUUCACAGGAAAAACAAUGCAACAAUCUACAACUUGCUGUGUCACUUAUGCAAUGACUGUGGUGCCAACAAGAAAAUGUGACGGUUAAAGAGUACUUAGUGGUGGUGAAAACUAUGUCAAAGAAAAAGCUUUGUGGAGCUGUUUAUCAAGCUUCAGUAGAAAUACCAGAGAAAUGUGGGAGGUGUAGAGGGUCAACUCUAGAGUAACCUGGGUUGUUACUUAAAAAAAAUUAAAAAAACACCCUGUAAGAUCAGCCAGGCAAAUUUAACUCACUUUCCUAACCUUUUCACAGAUUGCAAAAGGUAUCAUACAGGAAUAGCUCUAUUUUGCUUUUUUUCCCCCUUUUUUUGCGACAUACUUUGCAUAAUGUCUGGUACAUAAGAAGUUCUGGAAAUAAAUUUGUUUCUUUAGUAAAAAAUCACUGAAAAAAUACCCAAAGUGAGAUUGAUGUUCAGCCAACACAUUGUCUGAUCUGAGAGCUGCAUUUGUUCGGCUGGUUGUAAAGAACUUUCUUCCAAGUUAACUGUUUUUCUGUCCUGUUCCCUCCUGUGUGCACAGGCACCAGAGUCACAUCUACCUCAGACAUGCCACUUUCAUCAGUUCCUUCAAGGUGCACAACACCCCCUUUGUCUCUCUUGUUGCUAUUAGCAGCUUCAGUGCCUUCCCCUGUGUGGGUGUCAAACCAGGUGAAGGCAGCCAUGAUACUGAUCAACCAGAAGUUUUAGAUGAAUAGAUAAAACUUCAGUCUGAUCUGGAGCCAAAG